GUCGUCCAACCAACUGAGCCAUCCAGGCGUCCCGAAUUUGUCAGAGGGAGACCCAAGAUGGUGGCAUAGGAAGAUCCUGAACUCACCUCCUCACAUGGACACACCAAAUCUACAGCCACAUAUGGAUCAUCUCCCUCUGAAAAAGAUCUGCAAAAAUAGAUGAACUGCUCUCUACAACAAAGGAUAGAAGGACCACAUCAAGAUGGAGUCUAUUUCCACCCUAGAAAGUGGAGGACAGUAUGCAGGAUGAGUCUGAAGCAAGUUCAAAUGAAGAAUCAACAAGUGAAGCAAGAUAACAGGGAGGAAAAAAAAAAGGACUCAGGAAUUAGGCUGAAGAAGCUUCCAGUAACAAAGACAAGACAAUUCCAAUUUCAAUAAAGAUACAGACAUACCUUGGAGAUCCUGUGGAUACUGUCAAUCCCAGAGCACUGAAAUAAAGUAUCACAAUAAGGAAGCAUUUCUUAUUAAAGUUAUUAGGUGAAAGGACCUUAGAAUAGCAGCAUUUGGUAACUCCUGAUGUAUGAAUGGAUCCAGUCACAAGGAGCUUCCAUUACUGUCAAUUAUCACAUGACCUACAGACAUACUGUACUUCUAAACAGAAGAACCCAAUACCCCUCUAGUCUUGCCAAAGGGACAGAACCUGAAUCUGAUGAAGAUUCUGGAUGUAAAGGACAGAGGAUUAAGUUGAACUGCACCAUAAGUGUGUGAUCAGUAACUUCCAAAAUCUGGGAAAAACAAACAAACAAAAAUGGCCUUGGGGCCUUCAACAAAAUUUUGGGGGAAAAGGGGAUAGAAGGGGAGCCACAAGAUUAAAAAAGACUCAAAAAGAUACUUAAAGAAGAAAAAGUACAAGACCAAAUUCUAGCGUUUAGGAUGUACACCUGGGUGAUAAACAACAAAGGAAAACAAGGGAGUGUCGGACCAGUGGUCACUUUUGGAAGGAGGGGCUGUGAUUUGAUAGGUGCACAUGAAGCGGCCUCUGGAGAGGCUAGCAAAGUUCUUGACCGAGAUGGUAGUUUUAAGGGUGACUUGCCUUAUAUAAUGAUGCAUUAAACUAAUUUGUACAGUGA